CUUCAUACAGAGCUUUCAGCAACAAAAGAAAGGUUAUAGUUUGAGAUAUCAGGUGAAGGAAAACACAGGCGAUUUCAAAAGAUGAACAGCAGAAAAUUGUGCACCCUUUUGAUCAUUUUCGUCAUUUCGGUGGCCAUUACGAGCCAUGUUCAAGUCGAGGCGACGCGAGUUUUAAGCGAAGAUUUUGCUAAAGCAAAUAACUUGGAGAUAUACUCGUCAGUGUACGAGAAGGCCAAGUUCACCAUGUCGUGCUGGCUCGAGCGCUUUGCGUCUGGACCCAGUCCUAGAGGACCUGGUCACUAGAAUUGUUCAAGUCUGGAAAAUCCAGUAAUGGGUCAAUUAUUCAGACUAGAAGAAAGUUAUACUUUGUUAUUUAUUAUUGUUUUAUUAUUUUAUUGUUAUUUUCUCUUUUUUUAAUCAUAGGUAGGUUCAAGUUUAUAUGAUGCAGCUGCAACAUAUUGCAUAUACAACUUUAUGUGCAAAUGUAAAUCUACAAAUAA